rnacentral:rRNA from 1 species
UUCUGGUUGAUCCCGCCGGACCCGACUGCUAUUUGGGUGAGGAUAAGCCAUGCGAGUCGAAUGGGAUACCUAAAAUUCCCAUGGCGAACUGCUCAGUAACACAUGAUCAACUUACCCUAUAGAGAAAAAUAAUCUCGGGAAACUGAGGAUAAUGCUUCAUAGUUGAAUUGGCUUGGAAAAGUUUUUCAAUGAAAAGAAUAAAGAAAAUGGUCUUUAUUUGCUAUAGGAUAGGAUCGUGUUCGAUUAUGGUUGUUGGUGAGGUAAUGGCUCACCAAGCCGAUAAUCGAUAGGGGCCGUGAGAGCGGGAGCCCCGAGAUGGGUACUGAGACAACGACCCAGGCCUUACGAGGCGCGGCAGGCGCGGAACCUCCGCAAUACACGAAAGUGUGACGGGGUUACCCAAAGUGUCCAGUUUUGGACUGUGGUAGGUGAGUAAUGUCCCCUACUAGAAAGGAGAGGGCAAGGCUGGUGCCAGCAGCCGCGGUAA